rnacentral:rRNA from 1 species
UACGAAGGGGGCUAGCGUUGCUCGGAAUCACUGGGCGUAAAGCGCACGUAGGCGGAUUGCUAAGUCAGGGGUGAAAUCCUGGAGCUCAACUCCAGAACUGCCUUUGAAACUGUCUGGCUUGAGGCCGGGAGAGGGUAGCGGAAUUCCCAGUGUAGCGGUGAAAUGCGUAGAUACUGGGAGGAACACCGGUGGCGAAGGCGGCUACCUGGACCGGUUCUGACGCUGAUGCGCGAAAGCGUGGGUAGCAAACAGG